rnacentral:rRNA from 1 species
CUGUGAAGGUGUGCUGUGAGGCAUGCUGGAGGUAUCAGAAGUGCGAAUGCUGACAUAAGUAACGAUAAAGCGGGUGAAAAGCCCGCUCGCCGGAAGACCAAGGGUUCCUGUCCAACGUUAAUCGGGGCAGGGUGAGUCGACCCCUAAGGCGAGGCCGAAAGGCGUAGUCGAUGGGAAACAGGUUAAUAUUCCUGUACUUGGUGUUACUGCGAAGGGGGGACGGAGAAGGCUAUGUUGGCCGGGCGACGGUUGUCCCGGUUUAAGCGUGUAGGCUGGUUUUCCAGGCAAAUCCGGAAAAUCAAGGCUGAGGCGUGAUGACGAGGCACUACGGUGCUGAAGCAACAAAUGCCCUGCUUCCAGGAAAAGCCUCUAAGCAUCAGGUAACAUUAAAUCGUACCCCAAACCGACACAGGUGGUCAGGUAGAGAAUACCAAGGCGCUUGAGAGAACUCGGGUGAAGGAACUAGGCAAAAUGGUGCCGUAACUUCGGGAGAAGGCACGCUGAUAUGUAGGUGAAGUCCCUCGCGGAUGGAGCUGAAAUCAGUCGAAGAUACCAGCUGGCUGCAACUGUUUAUUAAAAACACAGCACUGUGCAAACACGAAAGUGGACGUAUACGGUGUGACGCCUGCCCGGUGCCGGAAGGUUAAUUGAUGGGGUUAGCGGUAACGCGAAGCUCUUGAUCGAAGCCCCGGUAAACGGCGGCCGUAACUAUAACGGUCCUAAGGUAGCGAAAUUCCUUGUCGGGUAAGUUCCGACCUGCACGAAUGGCGUAAUGAUGGCCAGGCUGUCUCCACCCGAGACUCAGUGAAAUUGAACUCGCUGUGAAGAUGCAGUGUACCCGCGGCAAGACGGAAAGACCCCGUGAACCUUUACUAUAGCUUGACACUGAACAUUGAGCCUUGAUGUGUAGGAUAGGUGGGAGGCUUUGAAGUGUGGACGCCAGUCUGCAUGGAGCCGACCUUGAAAUACCACCCUUUAAUGUUUGAUGUUCUAACGUUGACCCGUAAUCCGGGUUGCGGACAGUGUCUGGUGGGUAGUUUGACUGGGGCGGUCUCCUCCUAAAGAGUAACGGAGGAGCACGAAGGUUGGCUAAUCCUGGUCGGACAUCAGGAGGUUAGUGCAAUGGCAUAAGCCAGCUUGACUGCGAGCGUGACGGCGCGAGCAGGUGCGAAAGCAGGUCAUAGUGAUCCGGUGGUUCUGAAUGGAAGGGCCAUCGCUCAACGGAUAAAAGGUACUCCGGGGAUAACAGGCUGAUACCGCCCAAGAGUUCAUAUCGACGGCGGUGUUUGGCACCUCGAUGUCGGCUCAUCACAUCCUGGGGCUGAAGUAGGUCCCAAGGGUAUGGCUGUUCGCCAUUUAAAGUGGUACGCGAGCUGGGUUUAGAACGUCGUGAGACAGUUCGGUCCCUAUCUGCCGUGGGCGCUGGAGAACUGAGGGGGGCUGCUCCUAGUACGAGAGGACCGGAGUGGACGCAUCACUGGUGUUCGGGUUGUCAUGCCAAUGGCACUGCCCGGUAGCUAAAUGCGGAAGAGAUAAGUGCUGAAAGCAUCUAAGCACGAAACUUGCCCCGAGAUGAGUUCUCCCUGACUCCUUGAGAGUCCUGAAGGAACGUUGAAGACGACGACGUUGAUAGGCCGGGUGUGUAAGCGCAGCGAUGCGUUGAGCUAACCGGUACUAAUGAACCGUGAGGCUUAACCUUACAACGCCGAAGGUGUUU